AACACUCAUUGUAAAUCGUAAGCGGAAAGUUGUGUUGUGUUGCGAAGAAAACGCGUGGAAAUCAAGCUCUGAGACAGGAAAAAAUUGUGAAAAUAACUUGAUACGUUGCAUGCGAGCCCGGCAGCCGCAGCACUAUGAAAUUCACCCGUGAAUCGUUGGAAACAUUUGCUAUAUUGCAGGUAGUAAACGUAUAAGACUGCGUCGCUACAUCUUCUAAGUGCAGUUAUUUAAAAAUGUGCAAAAGAACAAAAAUCAAGUGCGAAUGUGAAAAAAAUACAAACUAUAUUUGUUUCAUAAAAUCAUAACUAGAACAAAAAGUGAUUUAAAACCAAAGGAAAGAGCCGCGAAACUCUUUGCGAUCCAAACAAUUGUGCAAAAUGAAGUAAAUCACGAAUCAAGAGAAUAAGCGGAACAACGAAAAAUCGUUUAUCAUCCAAGCGUCUCCAACGAACAACGAGCAACAACAACGCAGAUCCGAUCGGAACACCAACAAGGAUAAAGAUCAGAAUCGGAACCAGAAGGAAGGAGGAGGAAAACAGGCGUGCGCAGCGUAGCCAGAAGCUGAGAAGCAGAGGAGGAGGAGCACGCCGAGGAAUCAAUCGAAUCUCUCGCACCGUUAUGUUUGUGAUGGCUGACAAUGUGAUGUGGCACAGUGUCGGACACCGUCAUUGCAAAUCAUCGAGCAGCUUACUCCUACCACAGAGAGUCUCAGCGUCCGUCCUCCGAGCCAGAGCCAGAGGUUAUGCAUUGGGCCCCCAAUGCUUUGGGGGCACACCCACGAACAACCAGCUACUUCAGCAACAUCAGGAGCAACUGCAUCAGUGGCAGCAACAUGACGGCCUUGCCAUUAAAGUAGUGUUGUGAAAUCGAAACUGAAACCGAAACCGAAACCGAAGAACUUUACCGAACCGAGCGAGCGAGUG